rnacentral:rRNA from 1 species
CAGUAGCCGCGGUAAUACGAAGGGUGCAAGCGUUACUCGGAAUUACUGGGCGUAAAGCGUGCGUAGGUGGUGGUUUAAGUCCGUUGUGAAAGCCCUGGGCUCAACCUGGGAAUUGCAGUGGAUACUGGGUCACUAGAGUGUGGUAGAGGAUAGUGGAAUUUCCGGUGUAGCAGUGAAAUGCGUAGAGAUCGGAAGGAACAUCUGUGGCGAAGGCGACUAUCUGGGCCAACACUGACACUGAGGCACGAAAGCGUGGGGAGCAAACAGGAUUAGAUACCACGGUAGUCCCUGUCUCUUAUAC